UUUGUUCACUGGAUGCUAUAGUGCCCUGGGCACUGGGUUCCCGGGAGGGUGCAGUUCCGCGGACACUGGCUUCACUGGAGGGUGCAGUGGCAUUAAACCAUUACAAAUGAUGUCAUUACGUUAAUAAAUUCGGUUUCUUUCUUCAGUCACAAGAAAGGAGGAGGAAAAGAUUUCUUUGUAUCCCAGGCCCUGUCAUUAAAACCUUUCCCAAUGUGGACAACAGGUUUAGUUGCCCAGGCACCUUCAGUGUCUCAGCUGAGCGACCAGGGCCUUGCACAUUGCAAAAAUUCCCAUGAUGGCCAACAGAGAGAGCUCGAGCACCACAGACCCGGAGAGGCGGGUUCCUCUGCCCAGGCAGUGAUGGCCAGCAGAAGGCGCACCAUCGGCUUUUCUGACCCAGGGCACCUGAGAGCAGGAAGGGCUUUGAUUGCUCCCAGAGUACUCAGGGCCUCUGCCGCUGCCUGAGUACAGAGAGCAGAGCUGCAUUUCCAGCAGAUUCAGGCUUGUUUCCGGGAAGAAACCCUGACAGAAAUUCAGAAGAACAGGAGCUGCAUUCCGUUAGGACAUGAAUACAUGAAAUGCUCGUCUUGGGAACUCCUAGAAGAAUGAGCUGGGACCCACUUUCCGAGUCCUGCUAGAACCAGAGACCAAGAAAAUAAAAACGCCCUGGAAGACAAGUGUAAUGCAUUGAGGUCUGUGAAAGCCACAAAGGAAGCAAAAGUCAAACAGCUGAAAGGAGAAAGCACAUAACCUGGAAGAAUUCUAUGAACAAAGAAAAGUGCCUACAAAAAAAGAAGCUGAAAAUGACACUGUGAACUGGCGGCAAAGAAGAAUCAGCUAGCAGCUGCAGAUCUCAAGUAGUGACCAGACUGUGUGGAAACUUUGUCCAUGCUAACAUUCCUCGGGGGUGGUGUCAAUUGUCAUCAUCUGUAGGAAAGCAGUGUGUCGUACAAUGAAUCAUACCCAUCAACGUGGUAGUGCCAUUUCAUGGCCCUCGUCUUUGCAACCCUGGGAAACAUGGCAACAAAUUGAACAAACACGGGAACAGCUGCAGCAGGCAGAGCUCACCUUUAGAUACCAGUUCACGAGAAGAAUGCUCAGGACAACUAGGGAUGACGCCUGCACUGUUAGUUGUCUAGUAGACGAC